rnacentral:rRNA from 1 species
UACGUAGGGCGCAAGCGUUGUCCGGAAUUAUUGGGCGUAAAGAGCUCGUAGGCGGCUUGUCACGUCGGAUGUGAAAGCCCGGGGCUUAACUCCGGGUCUGCAUUCGAUACGGGCAGGCUAGAGUUCGGUAGGGGAGAUCGGAAUUCCUGGUGUAGCGGUGAAAUGCGCAGAUAUCAGGAGGAACACCGAUGGCGAAGGCGGAUCACUGCGCCGAUACUGACGCUGAGGAGCGAAAGCGUGGGGAGCGAACAGG